rnacentral:lncRNA from 1 species
CUCCCCCUUAGUUCUAUAAACACAGCAAGUUUCCAACAAAGCAAGCAAAUGUAAACAUUAAAUAAAUAAUCACAUCAAACACACUAAAAUUUUCAUGAAAGAUUAAAUUUUAAUUGAUUGCCAAAAUGAGAUUAUAAAAAGUGAUUGCAAAAAUAGUAAAAUCAAUACAUCCAAAAUGCAUGAAGGCUAUAUCUAUCAAAAAGUAGAUUACUACUAUAUAAUGCUUUAAGUGAGAAAUCCUAGCAUCCUAUAAGAGAGUAGGUCAGUAAAGCCCUAAGAAGUAGGUCCAGG